rnacentral:rRNA from 1 species
UACGUAGGGGGCAAGCGUUGUCCGGAUUUAUUGGGCGUAAAGAGCGUGUAGGCGGCCACGCAGGUCCGUUGUGAAAACUGGAGGCUCAACCUUCAGACGUCGACGGAAACCGUGUGGCUAGAGUCCGGAAGAGGAGAGUGGAAUUCCUGGUGUAACGGUGAAAUGCGCAGAUAUCAGGAAGAACACCAAUGGCGAAGGCAGCUCUCUGGGACGGUACUGACGCUGAGGAGCGAAAGCGUGGGGAGCGAACAGG